rnacentral:rRNA from 1 species
AACGAACGCUGGCAGCAGGCCUAACACAUGCAAGUCGAACGCCCUAGCAAUAGGGAGUGGCAGACGGGUGAGUAACACGUGGGAACGUGCCCUUCGGUUCGGAAUAACUCAGGGAAACUUGAGCUAAUACCGGAUACGUGCGAGAGCAGAAAGAUUUAUCGCCGAAGGAUCGGCCCGCGUCCGAUUAGCUAGUUGGUGAGGUAAUGGCUCACCAAGGCGACGAUCGGUAGCUGGUCUGAGAGGAUGACCAGCCACACUGGACUGAGACACGGCCCAGACUCCUACGGGAGGCAGCAGUGGGGAAUAUUGGACAAUGGGCGCAAGCCUGAUCCAGCCAUGCCGCGUGAGUGAUGAAGGCCCUAGGGUUGUGAAGCUCUUUCGCCAGGGACGAUAAUGACGGUACCUGGAUAAGAAGCCCCGGCUAACUUCGUGCCAGCAGCCGCCGUAA